rnacentral:rRNA from 1 species
UACGAAGGGGGCUAGCGUUGCUCGGAAUUACGGGGCGUAAAGCGCACGUAGGCGGCUCUUUAGGUCGGAGGUGAAAUCCUGGAGCUCAACUCCAGAACUGCCUUCGAUACUGAAGAGCUCGAGUCCGGGAGAGGUGAGUGGAACUGCGAGUGUAGAGGUGAAAUUCGUAGAUAUUCGCAAGAACACCAGUGGCGAAGGCGGCUCACUGGCCCGGUACUGACGCUGAGGUGCGAAAGCGUGGAGAGCAAACAGG